UUACUGUGAUGGUUAUAUAGCUCAGAUUGAAUCAUGAAGAGAUAUACCAUUUAUCUAAUGUAAAA
ensembl:snoRNA